AACUGCAGUCAGACCACCAUCUAGUCUGCUGUGAUUUGUUCAGAUCUUACAAGCUAAGGAGGGAUAGGGACGGGGUUGGUACUUGAAUGGGAAACCUCCAAGGAACAUCUAGCCGCUGCUGCUG
rnacentral:rRNA from 1 species